rnacentral:tRNA from 1 species
CGCUACGGACUUUUUUAGACCGUGAGGGUUCAAGUCCCUCUACCCCCA